CCUACGGGCGGCAGCAGUAGGGAAUCUUUCACAAUGGGCGAAAGCCUGAUGGAGCAACGCCGCGUGCAGGAUGAAGGCCUUCGGGUUGUAAACUGCUUUCAUAAGCGAGAAAUAUGAUGGUAACUUAUGAAUAAGGAUCGGCUAACUACGUGCCAGCAGCCGCGGUCAUACGUAGGAUCCGAGCAUUAUCCGGAGUGACUGGGUGUAAAGAGUUGCGUAGGUGGCAUAAUAAGUAGCUAGUGAAAUCUGGUGGCUCAACCAUUCAGACUAUUAGCUAAACUGUUAAGCUCGAGACCGUUAGGGGUAACUGGAAUUUCUAGUGUAGGAGUGAAAUCCGUAGAUAUUAGAAGGAACACCAAUAGCGUAGGCAGGUUGCUGGGACGGUUCUGACACUAAGGCACGAAAGCGUAGGGAGCAAACGGGAUUAGAUACCCCUGUAGUC
rnacentral:rRNA from 1 species